rnacentral:rRNA from 1 species
UACGUAGGGUGCAAGCGUUGCUCGGAAUCACUGGGCGUAAAGGGUGCGUAGGCGGGUCUUUUAAGUCAGGGGUGAAAUCCUGGAGCUCAACUCCAGAACUGCCUUUGAUACUGAAGAUCUUGAGUUCGGGAGAGGUGAGUGGAACUGCGAGUGUAGAGGUGAAAUUCGUAGAUAUUCGCAAGAACACCAGUGGCGAAGGCGGCUCACUGGCCCGAUACUGACGCUGAGGCACGAAAGCGUGGGGAGCAAACAGGG